rnacentral:misc_RNA from 1 species
AACGCACGAGACCUGCGGACCUGCGGAAGGAUCAUUAAUGAGAAACUGCCCCUCGCGGGUAGAUCUCCCACCCUUUGUAAACUUACCUUUGUUGCUUUGGCAGGCCCGUCUCCGGACCGCCGGCUUCGGCUGGCCAGUGCCUGCCAGAGGAUUCUAAAACUCUGUCUGUCAGUGUUGUCUGAGUCUAUAUACAAUCGUUAAAACUUUCAACAAUGGAUCUCUAGAUCGGAAGAGCACACG